AAAAAUAAAAAUUAAUAAUGGGGGUUAUUAAUAAAAAAAUUUUUAAUAUGGGGGUAUUAAAGUAAAUAAAAAAAAAAUAAUUAAAAUUUAUAGUUUAUUAGUAUUGUGAAAGAAUUUUUAAAAAAAAUUAUUUAAAAGUAAUUUUAAUUUAAUGUAUCUUGUGUAUCAAGUUUAUUAAUUUAUUAUAAAAAUUUAAAUUUUCUCAAUUAAAAAGAGAUAAUUAAUUAAAAAAGUUAUUGUAACAUAAAUAUUUUUAAUAAUUAAUUUGAAAUGAAAUGUUAAUCGUUUUUUAAAAUAUCUAGUUUUUUUAAAAAAAAUUUAAUUUUUAAUUAAUUAAAAUAAAAUUUAUAUAAAUUAAAUUUUAUUUUAAUUAAUUUAAUAAUUUAAGGGAUAACUUUAAAUUAAAAUGUUAUAAUUUAUUCAAAAAAAAAAAUAAAAUUUUUAUUAUUUAUAUUGUAAAUAAAUUUUAAUAUAUUAUAAUUAAUUUUAUAAAAGAAAAUAUUUAAUUGAAUUUAAUUUUUUAUAAAAAAAAUAUUUUUUAAUAAAUUAAAAUUAGAUAUAAUGAUAAAAUUAGUAUAAUAAUUAAAUUAUAAUAAAUGAUUUUUGUUAAUUAAUUUAAAGGAAUUCGGCAAAAUUUAUAUUCACUUGUUUAUCAAAAACAUGUCUUUUUGUUAAUAAUUUAAAGUCUAAUCUGCCCACUGAAUAAAUUUAAAGGGCUGCAGUAUUUUGACUGUACAAAGGUAGCAUAAUCAUUAGUCUCUUAAUUAGUGACUUGUAUGAAAGAUUGGAUGAAAUAUAAUCUGUCUCUUAAUUAUAAUAUUAGAAAUUAAUUUUUUAAUUAAAAAGUUAAAAUAAAUUAAAAAGACGAGAAGACCCUAUAGAGUUUUAUAAAUAGUUUAAUUAAAAAUAUUUAUAAAUUUAUUAUUUAAAAUUAAAUAAAUUAUUUUAUUGGGGUGAUAAAAAAAUUUAAAUAACUUUUUUUUUUAUUUAACAUAAAUAAGUGAGUUAUUGAUCCAUUAUUAUUGAUUAUAAAAAAAAAUUACCUUAGGGAUAACAGCGUAAUUUUUUUUUUUAGUACAAAUAAAAAAAAAAGUUUGCAACCCCAAUGUUGGAUUAAAAUUAAUUUUAAAUGCAAAAGUUAAAUAAAUUUGAUCUGUCCAAUCAUUAAAAUCUUACAUGAUCGGAGUUCAAACCGGCGUGAUGCCAGGUGGGUUUCUAUCUUUUAAAUUAUAUAAUAUUUUAGUACGAAAGGAUCAGAUAUUAAAAUUAAAUUUAUUUUUUUUUGAAUAUUAUUAAAAAUUAAUAGUAAAAUUAAGAUUUAUUUAUUUAUUUAAUAUGAGCUAUUUUGGCAGAA
rnacentral:rRNA from 1 species